rnacentral:lncRNA from 1 species
UGGACGAGGCCAACUUGCUCGCGCAGUGGAACGAGUGCCACUAUACGCGCGGCGAUAACGAUGUGGUUGAAGUGCUGCGGGGUUUCGUGAGGAUGAGCUUGGAGGGGUGGGCGAAUGUGGUGCUCGUCUCCUCGGACGAUCUCUUCAAGCGCUGGCUCGGCCGGCAGGAGCCCAUGUCUGGGAGGCAUCUCGAGGUGGCCAACCUCACCCCUCUCUCGGCGAAGGACGCCAGGGAGUUCCUGUUUGGGAUGCUGGACGAGAAGAUCAAGGGAGAGACGAAGAGGAUGUGGAGCGACAUCUAUGCUCACUAUGGCGGCGAGACGCUCAAGCUUCUCAAGCUCCAGCGCGCGCUCAACUCGGCAGGACCCAGGGGGAUCCGUGAGACGUGGAACCGGUUGAAGGAGAGCGAACUGGCGGACGCGAGGGAGGCCAUCGCGAAUCCCCCGAAGGACUGGAAGACCGUUGUCAAGGAGCUCGGGAAAGCUAGAGAUGGCAUCGUCUCGUACAGUGACUUGGUGGGCAAGGUUGGCGUGACUUCCUUGGAUGCGAUCAUAUCUAGUGGCCUCGUCCACUAUAGAACUUGCGGGCAGUGGGGGCACGCUGAUCUUGGCUCCAGUGACCGCGAGUGGCCCAUCGUUAUGCCCAAGAACAAGGCAAUGCAUCUGGUAAUGAAAGAAAUGGACGCCAACGAGGAGGAGGAGGAGGAAGCGAGUGGCGAUUCUAGCAUUGAUGGGUCUUCUUCUUCUUCGAGCGAUUCUUUUAGUUGCUUGAGUGAUGCUAGCGAUUGCGAUUCCUCUUAAUUGUUGUUAAUUCUUGUUAGUUCUUCUUUUCCUUGAGAAAAAAAAAAAAAAAA